rnacentral:lncRNA from 1 species
AUGGUGCUCGCUCUUCCGGCUGAGUAAGUCGGGGAACCAGAUUUUGCUGGAAGUAGAAGUCCUUUGCUCUGAGAACUGGUCUUUACAGCAUCAGGCUCUGCCCUGAUGUGUUAGCGUUAGCAGCCUGUGGAUUUCUGAGCCGCGCUGAAACGGGGGCUCAGAGCGGCCAACCUAAGUCGGUCAAGAAGAGAUGGCAGCGUGAAGCAGAGGAGGAGGAGAAAAAUAAGAUCAAGUGAAGUAAAUGAUACAAGAUCUUUGCAUGCACAUAAACAGUAUCAGAAUAUCAGAAUCUCGAUGGCCACCACAAGAAAACACCAUAGCCUGAAUACAAAGGAGCCACAAAACCCAGACCAACAUGAGCUGUACAUUAACAGCAAUGGUGAAUUGACAUGCACAGUUUGUUUUGCUCAUUUGCAGUUUUUGUAACUCUUUGCG